rnacentral:lncRNA from 1 species
GGGUCAAAUUGGAGCUGCAGCUGCAGGCCUACACCACAGCCACAGCAAUGGGGGAUCCAAGCCACACAGUGACCUACACCACAGCAAUGCUGGAUCCUUAACCCACCAAGCGAGGCCAGGGAUUGAACCCACAUGCUCAUGGACACUGGUCGGGUUGGUUACCGCUGCACCAUCCCGGGAACUCCAGACCCGAAAUGUGAAGGCAGGUAAACGCCCCUCUUGCAGCCUCUGCACCGACUCCUCCGUAACUGCUCAGUAACUGACCCAAACGGCUCUCGGGACGGGCACCUGGUCGUGUCGACCCUCCGCUCCUGCCGGCGGUGCGCCCUGACUCUUGUCGCCGCAGGUCUCUGCACACACGUGUGUGUGUCCACAGCAGACAUUCCAGGACGCGGAGUCGCCAGGUCCAAGGGAUUCCAGAGAAACUGCAAAAGCCUUUCCUGGAAGAACCACCUGUAAGGACACUCACUUCCCAUCACUGGAGCCAACAGCACCUGUUCUCAGCAUUUGUUCUUUGACCACCGGGCCAGGUGAGAUGUGGUGUCUCCCUGGGGCUCACCUGCAUUCUCUUCUCAUGAGCAAGUUAAGCAUCUUCCUACACGUUUAAAAACUAUAGGUAGUCUUCUUUCUAAGAACUAUUCAUGGCUUUUGUUCUUUUUUUUGGUGGGGGGAGGUGUUUGGUUCUUAGGCUUUUCUUAAUGAUCUGCAGGAAUUCUAUGAAUAUUACAGCCUAUCAAUCCCUUCUCUGUGACACACAUAUUUUCAUAUUCUUUUCUUAUGGGUGGUUUUGGGGGGUGGUUUGGGGCAGAGAGAAAAUGUGGACUUUUAUAGAAUCAGUAUUCUUUUUCUUUUUAUAACUUCUGGGGUUUAUGUCACACUGAGAAAGGCCUUCUCAUCUCAAGAUCAUAAAAUCCAGUCUCUUCGGUUUUCUUCUAGUAGUUUUAUGGUUGCGUUUUCCAAGUUCACGUCGUCAUCCGUCCAUCUGGAAUGCAUUCUGGUGCAAGAGUGAGGCAGGAUCCAAGUUCUUUUUCCCAGAUGGCUCGUCCCCAUCCCAGCCCGUUUCAGUGACUAAGCCUUCCUUUCCCAGCCAACGCGAAAUGCCGUCUUUCUCAAACCCUAGGUCCCUGCGGGUACCAGGCCUUCAGAGCCACAGGGCAACAGCUGUGCACCCCCUUGACGGUCCACAGGGAGGGGAGGCUCUGCGGCUCACCCCGCCCCCAAGAUGCUCCACCCCCCCCCCCCCCCCCGGGGGAGCCCGAGGGGGGAAGGAAGCAGCUCAGAUAGAGCCUGAGUAAGCACGUCGCACUAAUGCAGAGUCACUCACAGAACCAAACCCUGGGCAAUGACCACGUCCGGCACUAGGAGACUCUCCAUGAAUUAGGCUGAAUCCCACCACCCCGGAUGGGAAGAGUGCCUUCGUCGCCGAGUGGAGACAGAAAGUCAAAACCAGCUGUGCUAGGCUCCGAGGCCUCUCCUUUCAGGGAGGGGCGCCCGUGGGGAUCAAGGCCCCGCUGAGGAGGAAAUUUCCAGACCAGCCACCAUGAGGCUUUUCCUUCUGUUCGAACCCAGUGGGGUUUGAGUCUGGGAUGAUUAUGGGUGAUUUUUAUUGUCUUCUCUACUUUUUUUUAUUUUCCAAAAUGCCUAUAUUAAACAUGCAUCCUUUCUCAUUAAAAAACACGUGUCCACAUAUGCUUAAAUGUAUGUUGAUAUUAACUAUACAUAUAUACACACAAUGCAAUUAAAGAAGAGAGAGGAGAAGCCCCUGUGUACUGACUCUAGGGCCUCGGGGGCAGCCUGAGCUGGGUGGGGGCACCCCCAUCCCAGGCCAGGCUGUGAGCCCUUCCGGCCGUGGCACAGCCGUGUGCGACAGCUGGUGCGCAGUCAAUGCUGAAGGGCAUUUUAGGAAGGCGGCCUCUCCACCCACCCCCUUGGCCAAGCCGCACGCACUGCCCGAGAUGCUGGGGGCACCCGCAAAGACCUUAGGCGAGUCCGAAUCGGAGGCAGUGUUUCUAGAGCAUUUCCUGCCAUGCACCUAAGCAGGCAGGUGGACACGCGGAGGUGAGGGGCGCACAAGGGAGGUUUCCGGAGGCGCCAGCAGCCCGGAGUUUCGAGUUGCAGCCUUGGGCCUGGAACCUCUGGCCCAGCGAAGACCUGAUCAACAGCAGAUGCCCUUCCCACGCAAGCCGGCCCACAUCUCCCUCCUUUCCGGGCCUGAAAGGCCAGGCUGGGAACGAGACAGGGGGAGGUGGGGGACUGCGGACCCUGAGGACCUGAGCGGGGGACGCAGCCCAGGAAGCGCCCCCGCCGGGCCAGGCAAGAACGUCAAGGCUGGGGAGGCUGAGAGAGAAAGCAGGUGUACCCGGCCGGCCGGCCUCCAACAGGAGCUAUCCCCGCUGCCCCUGCCACCAGCCUCCAGCCAGGUGGCAACACCAGCAUGGAGCUUCCCAGGGGGUGGGCAAAGUGGGAGGGAAGGGUCCCGGCAGCAAGAGGAGAGAGGAAUGAGCGGUCAGGGGAAGAGGGGUUCUGAGAGAGGCUGAUGGAGCCCAGAGACGAUGACUGUGCAGAAUGGCACGGGGGACGUCAGGGCCCUUUCUGGGGGCGGAUGCUCACGGCCGCCCCCCCUGCUGCAGAGAGCGGACCAGAAAAUGUUCUCCUAAGUGACUGGAAAAAGACCAGACUACCCCUCUUCAAGUGGUUUUUUGUUGUUUUUUUUUUGUUUGUUUGCUGAGACAUUGACCAGGCAACCAAUUUAUGAGGAAGGCACAUGCCUGGAGCCCCACAUUUUUGCUUGGGCUUAACUUCAGCUCAGGAGGGCGGAUCGUGGGACCGAGAGGCAGCCCAGGCCAGGCCAGAGCAGCCAGCCCGGGGAAGGCAGCUUUGAGCGCGAGACGUGGUGCCAGCAUCCUUGCUCCUUGCUCUGGCGGGCAGGGGAGGAGGCGGCGGCCCGGGACACCGGAAGUGAUCCCUCUACCCACACACAAGUCCUGGAAGAUGAUGCAGGUCAAGGUAAGGGCUCGGAAGAGCAGGGCGGGGGCAGAAGCUGGCAGUGUUGAAAGAAUUCCAAAACACGCUGAAAGAGUUUCUGGAAGUUACUGAUAGGGUAAGACGACCCAUCCUGGAAUUAAAGGAGCCUGGGGUGAAAAUGCCUGCGAAGAUUCGCCUCGGCAGAUUACAGAGAAGCAGCAGGACGACAGCAGGGGACAUUAUCAAGAGGACGAAGGGGUGGGGGUUCGCCGAGGGGGUGGCCUGGGGUCCCGCAGGGGCCACAUUCGAAUCCCAGGUCUCCUCCUCGUUAGCUUGACCUGGACCACUCCUUGCACGACUGACCUUGGGGCUUGUUGGGGGAGGGGGGCGAGAAAUCACGAGUGUAAGACAGCAGCUCACGGGGGGGCAGUCAGCGCACUGGAGCCCAAGGCACUGGAGACACCAGGGGGACAGCGCUCACACCUGCUCAGGUACAUGUGACACGAGUGCGCUCUCACACACAGAGACACACACGAGUCACUCGCCUGGGGAGCCCACGAAGGACCUGGGGCAGUUCGGACGGCUCUAUGAAGCAGGUGGUUGAUGCAUGUCAGUGUGGACAGUCCAGCCCGCAGCCUCCACCCCGCAAACGCGCCCGGGCUCCCCAGGCUGUUCUUCCGCGUUCCCCAGACCAAACCCCAGAGCACCCCUGGCAGACCCCCCGUUUCCUCCCUUCUCUGGCCCCUCUAGGAGCAUCGAGUCCAGGACACCCACCUCUGCCAGCCAGUGAGUCCCCCUUCUCCCCCAGACCAGCCCAGACGCCCUCACGUCCGCCCGCCCUGCUUCAGAAUGAGCCAGUUCAAAGCAGGCCGGCCAACACCCCCGGGGCUUAGCAAACGCCUUCCGCUCCAGCCCGCAGCUCCUUGGUGAGCCUCCCUCAACUGCGCACUGCCAGUGCCGAGGGAUGGGACAGACCCGGAGACCCCGUCUGCGUGGAGAUCCCAACGGUGCCCCCUUAAACUCUCACCCAAACCUACGACGGAGACCCCCUCUGCUCCAUUUUGCACAUCAGAAACCAGGACACGGAAGAAAAAGGCUGUUUUGACGUCAAGCUGGGAGCCUGGCAGUGCAUCUCCCAGCCAGGCCAGGUCCCGGGCAGGUGGGGCCCGGCUGCAGUCUUGCCCUUGGCCUCCAGGCGAGCCAUGCCCACACCUGGUCUGGAAACAUGAGGCUCGGCUGUCCCGACAGUGAACUAGCCUUGCCUCUCCACCAUCUGCGGGGACUUCUGCGCCAGUGAUGUGACCUCCAACUAGACACGCCUGGGACCACGUGGACGGGAGGCGCCCUCUUCCCUCUGUUUCAGAUGCGCCAAAACUCCCUGGCUUUUCCCAGGAGAACCCGCCUGGCCUCGGUCAGUGGGGGAGGAGGGCCACCCAAGGAGAAAAUUUCUGAGGCCUCUGAGAAUUCUCUAGAACUCACGAUCCAUCUUCAGGGAAAACCAAGAGCUGAACGCCUGAGCCUGGUGCUCAGCAAGCCCGCUGGCUCUCACGGUCUCUCUGCCCACGAGAUAAAAGGCAGACUCAGACGUCAGGCCCCCGGGCAUCGCUCCUCUCCGCGUGUUCAUUUUUCUCUGCUGAAGUGCUGAUGGUUGAAAGAUGGGGCCCUUGCCUGGUCCAGCUUCCCUGACCCAGAAGGUGAUGGGGAAGCUGCCCAAGUUUCACUCCUGGGACCUCUGCGGGGCCACUGGGCCCCCACCUUGCCCUCAGAGGGGGAGCCCCCGCAGCCUCCCCGCCCUGAUCUUCUGCAACAUUUGGCUUUUGCUGGCCCGGGGCCGCGUGUGGGAACUGAUAUUAAACAGGCAGGCCCCACCUGGCCACAAUCCUCGCCCAUCACUCCUUCCUUCCCCCUAAAAUGGAAAAAGUGACUCAGCUAGAACCACUCACCCCCCCACCCCCACCGCACAAACCCGCUCCUUGCAGCUGAACACAAGGGCGCAAGGUCAGAGCCUGCCCCAUCUCCUCUGAGAAGCCCAAGGAUGAGGGACUUGGGGGGCUUUGGAAAGUGGGCGCCCCAUACAGCACGGCUUCCUCCCGAAACCAAACAGGCACCAGCUCCCGGCCUGGGCCCCAGGAGACAGGUGGAGGGCAGCCACUGGGUUCCACCAACCUCCUCCUCUCUCAGCCCCUUGCUGCCCGGGGGGGUCCGACCCCAGAUGGAAAGAUGGGGCUGAUGGGGCUGAAACUUCCCUUCACUGCAAUGUCUGGCUCCCAGGAGGCUGGGCAAAACCCAGUUUCCACAACUCGAAUGUGACUGUAAAGACUCCAGCUUACUAGUGGUGGGACUUCUGUGAGCCUCAGUUUUCCUGCCUGGAAGAUGGAGAUGCUCCCACCUUGCCAAGACGUCAUCUGGAUAAAACGACGGUCGACAGCACUCGGGAUAAGGGGAAAGAAAGAUCCAGAAGUUCCGACUCCUCGCCUUCAGAGAAUAUUCCCAAGCAGACACACCUCUCCUGUGUCAGAUGCUCUUCUACCUAAUUCAAGUAUCAGCUGCUGGGUCGAGGAGGCCACUGAGGGGCCGAGGGACCCCAGGGCUGGCUCGGA